UACGAAGGGUGCUAGCGUUGUUCGGAAUCACUGGGCGUAAAGCGCGCGUAGGCGGCUUCUCAAGUCAGGGGUGAAAUCCUUGGGCUCAACCCAAGAAUUGCCUUUGAAACUGUGAAGCUGGAGUGUCGGAGGGGAUAGCGGAAUUGCUAAUGUAGAGGUGAAAUUCGUAGAUAUUAGCAGGAACACCGGUGGCGAAGGCAAUCCCCUGGACCUGUACUGACGCUCAUGCACGAAAGCGUGGGGAGCAAACAGG
rnacentral:rRNA from 1 species